rnacentral:rRNA from 1 species
UGGGGAAUAUUAGUAAUGGGCGAAAGCCUGAACUAGCAACGCCGCGUGUGCGAAGAAGGCCUUCGGGUUGUAAAGCACUUUUUGAGAGGAUGAGGAAGGACGGUACUCUCAGAAUAAGUCUCGGCUAACCACGUGCCAGCAGCCGCGGUAACACGUAGGAGGCGAACGUUAUCCGGAUUUACUGGGCGUAAAGCGCGUGUAGGUGGUUUGGUAAGUGGGGCGUGAAAGCUCCUGGCUCAACUGGGAGAGGCCGUUCUAAACUGCCGAACUAGAGGAUGGUAGAGGGAGGUGGAAUUCCGGGUGUAGCGGUGGAAUGCGCAGAUAUCCGGAGGAACACCAGUGGCGAAAGCGGCCUCCUGGACCACUCCUGACACUCAGACGCGAAAGCUAGGGUAGCAAACGG